UCAUCGUCAAAAUUGAAAGGUAUAGAUAUAUUUGAUGAGCAGAUCGGACAAGAAGCAGUGCUGCAGUAUUAUAAACGAUUGGAUAAUAAGUGGCUAAUCCAGAACUUUUUAUAAUACUUAUAAGGGGGUCCACUGACUGCCAUAAGCGUGAGGGGGCUUCCUCCUGUCAUGCUUCUAUGAUCCCUUUAUAAUCAAUCAUUUUUUUUUCCACGAAAAAGGGGGUAGACCGGAUUGCAUUGUUUAUGCAUGGAAAGGAGUUUUGGGCAAGAACAAGUGGUCAGGAGACAUCACCAAUAACAAAUCGGCUUUUUCAAAUUAAUUUUUUUUUGUGUUUAUUUUUUAAGUAUCUUUAAAAAAAAACCAAUUCUUACCAAUCAUUAAGUAAUUUGGGUUUGAUGAUUCUCUAUAUUUUGGGAGAUCUCAAAACCUGUUCAUGCUAUCUUAAUUAUAUGUAUAUCUGUAUAAAUAUGAUAUAUUCUUAGUUUAUAUUUUAAAAUCAAAUCGAUUUGUUUAGUUGCUUUCUUUCAUUUAAAUAAAUAGGAGAAAUUUUUUGGUAUAUUUAUUUUAAUUAUUUUUACCGAUUGAUAUUUAAUAUAUAAACUUAAAAUAUCAUCGAUGUAUAAAGUAAUCAUAAUAAUUGAGAAGUUUUUAAAUUUUCGCGGUUUUUCAAGUUGAGUUCCGAAUAUUUUCAUUCGGAUGCGCACGCAAGCACGCGCACCUCUUUUCAACAUCCGUUUAGAACAUUUUGAAAAUCAUCCUCGAGAAAUUAUCGCACCAGACUGAUGAACAAAAUUAAUAGUGAACAACUGCGUCUAAGGAAUAUAAAGACGAGAGAAGACUUUUCUGUAUAAACCUCUUGAUAUUAGCAUGCUGUUUUAUUCUGCCACAAAGAGACACCAGAAUCCAAAAUACCUGAGCAGUGUGCAAGACAUGUAAAGUGUGCCCCACAGAGAGCAGAAGGAGUUGCUAGGCCAAAAGAAUAAAUCUUAAAAACAAAAUAAAUUUUUCAUUUUAAAAA